rnacentral:rRNA from 1 species
GUUUUACCUUGACGAAUUGUAGUUUAAAGAAGUGUUUUCUGUUGAAGUUUUGGUAAAAGUUCUUUGGAAUAGGACAUCAUAGAGGGUGAGAAUCCCGUAUUUGACCAUUAUUUUCAGCUGUGUGAUACACUUUCAAAGAGUCGGAUUGUUUGGGAAUGCAGUCCAAAAUGGGUGGUAAAUUUCAUCUAAAGCUAAAUAUUGGCGAAAGACCGACAGCGAACAAGUACCGUGAGGGAAAGAUGAAAAGAACUUUGAAAAGAGAGUUAAACAGUACGUGAAAUUGUCAAAAGGGAAGCGUUUGACACCAGUGUUGUUUUCUCGAAAAUCAAUUAAAAAAAGUUGGAUUUUGUGUUGUAUUGACCUUAACAGCUUUCUGCACUUUUUUCCUGCUUUUUUU